ACGAGGACGAACGCUGGCGGCAUGCCUAACACAUGCAAGUCGAACGGAGAAUUCCUUCGGGAAUUUUUAGUGGCGAACGGGUGAGUAACGCGUAGGCAACCUGCCCUUUGGAUGGGGACAACAUUCCGAAAGGAGUGCUAAUACCGAAUGUGACGAUUUUACCGCAUGGUUUAAUCGUGAAAGAUGGCCUCUACAUGUAAGCUAUCGCUUGAAGAUGAGCUCGCGUCCGAUUAGAUAGUUGGUGAGGUAACGGCCCACCAAGUCGACGAUCGGUAGCCGGACUGAGAGGUUGAACGGCCACAUUGGGACUGAGACACGGCCCAGACUCCUACGGGAGGCAGCAGUGGGGAAUAUUGCACAAUGGGGGAAACCCUGAUGCAGCAACGCCGCGUGAAGGAAGACGGUCUUCGGAUUGUAAACUUUUGUUCUUAGUGAAGAAACAUGACGGUAGCUAAGGAGAAAGCCACGGCUAACUACGUG
rnacentral:rRNA from 1 species